rnacentral:miRNA from 1 species
CUUGAACUGUUGAACUUGCUUUUUG